AAUACAAAGACAAAGCCGCAUACGAACUUCCGCUACACCAUCAAAGCUUUAUGAACAAAGAAGAAGCUUGGUUAGUGUUUUGAAGUCGAAUAUGACUUGAUGUCAUGUGUAUGAUUGAGUAUAAGAACUUAAACUGCAACCGGAUCUUAAAAGCCUAAGUAGUGUUUCCUUGUUAAAAGAUACAAAGCCAAAGACUCAUACGGACUUCAUCUACACCAUCAAAGCUUUGAGAGGCAAGAAGAGGCUUGGUUAGUCU
rnacentral:sRNA from 1 species